ACUCAUCAUGCUCUGAGAGUCCAUUCUGGGGGCAAAUAGGUGGAUGCUUUCCAUCGAGGGCAGAGUUCUCCAACCAGUGACCGUUCCGAAUUCACUUCUGCUCUGGCUGUGCUUUUUGCAUCAUACUAUAUAUUUAACAUGGAAUAUCCUGCGGAGGCAACCACUACAUUAUAAUUUAUCCAGAGGGUAGAAGACUCCAGCCCAGGAAAUUGACUAAUUCAGGCCCGUUUCUGAAGAAAAAUACAGUUCUGGGAGAAAAACAACAUUCAGGGUGCAAAAAAUCUACUGUUUGAAAUCCUGCUGUUUUUAAAUAAUUUAAUUUGCCUUUUAUACAUUCUAAUUUUAACCGAACAUUUUAAUACAUUUG